UACAGAGGUCUCAAGCGUUGUUCGGAUUCAUUGGGCGUAAAGGGCGUGUAGGUGGCGCCGUAAGUCGGGUGUGAAAUUUCGGAGCUUAACUCCGAAACUGCAUUCGAUACUGCGGUGCUUGAGGACUGGAGAGGAGACUGGAAUUCAUGGUGUAGCAGUGAAAUGCGUAGAGAUCAUGAGGAAGACCAGUGGCGAAGGCGGGUCUCUGGACAGUUCCUGACGCUGAGGCACGAAGGCCAGGGGAGCAAACGGG
rnacentral:rRNA from 1 species